UAACGNAAUCACUUGCCCUUUAAUUGGGGGCUAGUAUGAAUGGCCAGACAAGGGCUUUACUGUCUCAAAAGACGUAAUGAAAAUUGACCUUUAGGUGCAGAGGCCUAAAUUCUAGUGAAAGACAAGAAGACCCUAUCGAGCUUUAAUUUUACUCAUUUCUCUAAAUGAAAUAAAUUUUUAUUGGGGCAAUAAAGGCGCAAACAAAGCCGCCUUUAAUAAUUAGUUAUAUAAAAUUAUAAAAGAAACAUUUUUAGUGCGCACAAGCAUAAGCUACCGUAGGGAUAACAGACUAAUUUUCCUCGAGAGUCCACAUUGACAGGAAAGUUUGGCACCUCGAUGUUGGCUUAAAAAACAGUUAUGAAGCAGCACUCUAACC
rnacentral:rRNA from 1 species